rnacentral:misc_RNA from 1 species
AACUUUUUUUUUCUAGGAAAAAAAAAAAACUAAUAAAAAACGGACAAAGAAAAGGUAUGUGGGUUCUCUAGAGGUUGUUCAGCUUUAUCCCCAUUCUGUUUCUCUUCUUUUCCUGUUUCAUGCAAGAACUGAGCCACAAGACAACGCCAUUAAAGAAAAAGCAGCUUGUUCUUCCUCUCUCAGUCUCCUCUUCCUUUGGCACCUUUGUUUCCUGACUAUUGAUGAUCUUUCAAACAUCAUUUUCUCACCCACUACUAUUAGUCUCAUCUUCAAUGACUCCCCCAAUACACUACCAUCAUUAACGCUGCUGGCUGAGGUAGCAAUUGUGCUGCUAUUUGCAGUGGUAGUGGUAAGGGUGGUGGCGCUAUGGCCUCUUCUCUUUUUCUUGUCUGAAUCCUUGUCUUUGUCUAAGCUCAACAUUGCUCUUCUUUUCUUUCUGUAUCUGAUCCCGCAUGCAUUGCACAGUGACUUGGGCCCAGCAGGUCCACCUCUCCACAAGGGUGUCCUGGUAGUUUUGCAAUCAGUACAAGACUUCUUGAUCUCAAUAUUCU